GUGGGGAAUUUUGGACAAUGGGCGCAAGCCUGAUCCAGCGACGCCGCGUGGAGGACGAAGGCCUUCGGGUUGUAAACUCCUUUUGGAGGGGAAGAAUAAAUUGACGGUACCCUCAGAAAAAGCCACGGCUAACUACGUGCCAGCAGCCGCGGUAAUACGUAGGUGGCGAGCGUUACUCGGAAUUACUAGGCGUAAAGCGUAUGUAGGUGGUUAGAUAAGUCUAUGGUGAAAUUUCCUGGCUUAACUGGGAAGGGACAUAGAUACUAUCUGGCUUGAGUGUGGGAGGGGGAGACGGAAUUCCUGGUGUAGCGGUGAAAUGCGUAGAUAUCAGGAGGAACACCGAUGGCGAAAGCAGUCUCCUGGCCCAAUACUGACACUGAGGUACGAAAGCUAGGGUAGCAAACAGGAUUAGAUACCCUAGUAGUCC
rnacentral:rRNA from 1 species